rnacentral:rRNA from 1 species
CAGGAUGAACGCUGGCGGCGUGCCUAAUACAUGCAAGUCGAGCGAACGGACGAGAAGCUUGCUUCUCUGAUGUUAGCGGCGGACGGGUGAGUAACACGUGGAUAACCUACCUAUAAGACUGGGAUAACUUCGGGAAACCGGAGCUAAUACCGGAUAAUAUUUUGAACCGCAUGGUUCAAAAGUGAAAGACGGUCUUGCUGUCACUUAUAGAUGGAUCCGCGCUGCAUUAGCUAGUUGGUAAGGUAACGGCUUACCAAGGCAACGAUGCAUAGCCGACCUGAGAGGGUGAUCGGCCACACUGGAACUGAGACACGGUCCAGACUCCUACGGGAGGCAGCAGUAGGGAAUCUUCCGCAAUGGGCGAAAGCCUGACGGAGCAACGCCGCGUGAGUGAUGAAGGUCUUCGGAUCGUAAAACUCUGUUAUUAGGGAAGAACAUAUGUGUAAGUAACUGUGCACAUCUUGACGGUACCUAAUCAGAAAGCCACGGCUAACUACGUGCCAGCAGCCGCGGUAAUACGUAGGUGGCAAGCGUUAUCCGGAAUUAUUGGGCGUAAAGCGCGCGUAGGCGGUUUUUUAAGUCUGAUGUGAAAGCCCACGGCUCAACCGUGGAGGGUCAUUGGAAACUGGAAAACUUGAGUGCAGAAGAGGAAAGUGGAAUUCCAUGUGUAGCGGUGAAAUGCGCAGAGAUAUGGAGGAACACCAGUGGCGAAGGCGACUUUCUGGUCUGUAACUGACGCUGAUGUGCGAAAGCGUGGGGAUCAAACAGGAUUAGAUACCCUGGUAGUCCACGCCGUAAACGAUGAGUGCUAAGUGUUAGGGGGUUUCCGCCCCUUAGUGCUGCAGCUAACGCAUUAAGCACUCCGCCUGGGGAGUACGACCGCAAGGUUGAAACUCAAAGGAAUUGACGGGGACCCGCACAAGCGGUGGAGCAUGUGGUUUAAUUCGAAGCAACGCGAAGAACCUUACCAAAUCUUGACAUCCUUUGACAACUCUAGAGAUAGAGCCUUCCCCUUCGGGGGACAAAGUGACAGGUGGUGCAUGGUUGUCGUCAGCUCGUGUCGUGAGAUGUUGGGUUAAGUCCCGCAACGAGCGCAACCCUUAAGCUUAGUUGCCAUCAUUAAGUUGGGCACUCUAAGUUGACUGCCGGUGACAAACCGGAGGAAGGUGGGGAUGACGUCAAAUCAUCAUGCCCCUUAUGAUUUGGGCUACACACGUGCUACAAUGGACAAUACAAAGGGCAGCGAAACCGCGAGGUCAAGCAAAUCCCAUAAAGUUGUUCUCAGUUCGGAUUGUAGUCUGCAACUCGACUACAUGAAGCUGGAAUCGCUAGUAAUCGUAGAUCAGCAUGCUACGGUGAAUACGUUCCCGGGUCUUGUACACACCGCCCGUCACACCACGAGAGUUUGUAACACCCGAAGCCGGUGGAGUAACCU